rnacentral:rRNA from 1 species
UACGUAGGGUGCGAGCGUUGCCCGGAUUUAUUGGGCGUAAAGGGCGCGUAGGCGGCUCUGCACGUCCGUUGUGAAAUCGCCCGGCUCAACUGGGCGGGGUCAGCGGAUACGGCGGAGCUUGAGCAAGCUAGGGGGCAAUGGAAUUCCCGGUGUAGUGGUGGAAUGCGUAGAUAUCGGGAGGAACACCAGUGGCGAAGGCGGCUCACUGGACCAUAACUGACGCUGAUGCACGAAAGCUAGGGGAGCAAACAGG